rnacentral:rRNA from 1 species
UACAGAGGGUGCGAGCGUUAAUCGGAAUUACUGGGCGUAAAGCGCACGUAGGCGGCUUUGCAAGUCGGGUGUGAAAUCCCCGGGCUCAACCUGGGAACUGCAUUCGAGACUGCAUUGCUGGAGUAUGGGAGAGGGAAGCGGAAUUUCCGGUGUAGCGGUGAAAUGCGUAGAUAUCGGAAGGAACAUCAGUGGCGAAGGCGGCUUCCUGGACCAAUACUGACGCUCAUGUGCGAAAGCGUGGGGAGCAAACAGG